AGUUGAUCCUGGCUUAGGACGAACGCUGGCGGCGUGCUUAACACAUGCAAGUCGAACGGAGAUUUAGCAAUAGAAUCUUAGUGGCGAACGGGUGAGUAACGCGUAGGCAAUCCGCCUUCUAGAUGGGGACAACAUCCCGAAAGGGGUGCUAAUACCGAAUGUUGUAGAUGGUUCGCAUGGACUAGCUACUAAAGGUGGCCUCUGAAUAUGCUACCGCUAGAAGAUGAGCCUGCGUCUGAUUAGCUAGUUGGAGGGUAACGGCCCACCAAGGCGACGAUCAGUAGCCGGUCUGAGAGGAUGAACGGCCACACUGGGACUGAGACACGGCCCAGACUCCUACGGGAGGCAGCAGUGGGGAAUCUUCCGCAAUGGACGAAAGUCUGACGGAGCAACGCCGCGUGAGUGAAGAAGGUUUUCGGAUCGUAAAGCUCUUUCGUUAGGGACGAACGUGCUCUUUGUGAAUAAUGAGGAGUAAUGACGGUACCUAAAUAAGAAGCCACGGCUAACUACGUGCCAGCCGCCGC
rnacentral:rRNA from 1 species